rnacentral:rRNA from 1 species
CAUACGACCGUACCGCAAACCGACACUGGUGCGCGAGAUGAGUAUUCUAAGGCGCUUGAGAGAACUCAGGAGAAGGAACUCGGCAAAUUGACACCGUAACUUCGGAAGAAGGUGUGCCCUAUUAGUGUGUAGUGAACAACGAAGCAUGAAUGGGUUGCAAAAAAUCGGUGGCUGCGACUGUUUAUUAAAAACACAGCACUCUGCAAACACGAAAGUGGACGUAUAGGGUGUGACGCCUGCCCGGUGCUGGAAGAUUAAAUGAUGGGGUGCAAGCUCUUGAUUGAAGUCCCAGUAAACGGCGGCCGUAACAAUAACGGUCCUAAGGUAGCGAAAUUCCUUGUCGGGUAAGUUCCGACCUGCACGAAUGGCGUAACGAUGGCCACACUGUCUCCUCCUGAGACUCAGCGAAGUUGAAAUGUUUGUGAUGAUGCAAUCUCCCCGCGGAAAGACGGAAAGACCCCAUGAACCUUUACUGUAGCUUUGUAUUGGACUUUGAACAGAUCUGUGUAGGAUAGGUGGGAGGCUUUGAAGCAGGGUCGCUAGAUCUUGUGGAGCCAACGUUGAAAUACCACCCUGGUGUGUUUGAGGUUCUAACCUAGGUCCAUUAUCUGGAUCGGGGACAGUGCAUGGUAGGCAGUUUGACUGGGGCGGUCUCCUCCCAAAGCGUAACGGAGGAGUUCGAAGGUACGCUAGUUACGGUCGGACAUCGUGACGAUAGUGCAAUGGCAUAAGCGUGCUUAACUGCGAGACUGACAAGUCGAGCAGAUGCGAAAGCAGGACAUAGUGAUCCGGUGGUUCUGUAUGGAAGGGCCAUCGCUCAACGGAUAAAAGGUACUCUGGGGAUAACAGGCUGAUACCGCCCAAGAGUUCAUAUCGACGGCGGUGUUUGGCACCUCGAUGUCGGCUCAUCUCAUCCUGGGGCUGUAGCCGGUCCCAAGGGUAUGGCUGUUCGCCAUUUAAAGAGGUACGUGAGCUGGGUUUAAAACGUCGUGAGACAGUUUGGUCCCUAUCUUCCGUGGGCGCUGCAGAUUUGAGGAAGCCUGCUCCUAGUACGAGAGGACCGGAGUGGACACACCUCUGGUGUAUCGGUUGUCACGCCAGUGGCAUUGCCGAGUAGCUAAGUGUGGAAGAGAUAACCGCUGAAAGCAUCUAAGCGGGAAACUCGUUUCAAGAUGAGAUCUGCCGGGGCCUUGAGCCCCCUAAAGAGUCGUUCAAGACCAGGACGUUGAUAGGUCAGGUGUGGAAGCGCAGUAAUGUGUUAAGCUAACUGAUACUAAUUGCUCGUGCGGCUUGACCG